rnacentral:rRNA from 1 species
GAUGAACGCUGACAGAAUGCUUAACACAUGCAAGUCAACUUGAACUUCGGUUUGGGUGGCGGACGGGUGAGUAACGCGUAAAGAACUUGCCUCACAGAUAGGGACAACAUUUGGAAACGAAUGCUAAUACCUGAUAUUAUGAUUAUAUGGCAUCGUAUAAUUAUGAAAGCUAUAUGCGCUGUGAGAGAGCUUUGCGUCCCAUUAGCUAGUUGGAGAGGUAACGGCUCACCAAGGCGAUGAUGGGUAGCCGGCCUGAGAGGGUGAUCGGCCACAAGGGGACUGAGACACGGCCCUUACUCCUACGGGAGGCAGCAGUGGGGAAUAUUGGACAAUGGACCAAGAGUCUGAUCCAGCAAUUCUGUGUGCACGAUGAAGUUUUUCGGAAUGUAAAGUGCUUUCAGUUGGGAAGAAAAAAAUGACGGUACCAACAGAGGAAGUGACGGCUAAAUACGUG